GGGGGCGACUGGAUUCGACGGGAGUAGUUGAGGUCGUAGAUGCAUGUCGAGGUGCCACCACCUCGUAAAACCGUGGCAAAAAACAACAAGUGCCAACGAUGAGUUCGCACUCGCCGCGUAAUUGACGCGGCCGUUCCGGCCUUCAGGCCCGCAGGGAGGUUCGGGGCGUCAUUUCAGCGGGCUUGCCGGUUCCUUGCCCCUCCCUCGGCGGGGGACCGAGACCUCAAUGAGGGACGAUCCGGCUGGCGGCUUUUCCAGUUUCCAUGCCACCUGGAUCGAAUCGGGAAACUGGGUUCGAUUCCCACCGCCUCCACCA
rnacentral:tmRNA from 1 species